rnacentral:misc_RNA from 1 species
CAACCCUCAAGCUCUGCUUGGUAUUGGGCGUCACCCCUCCUGGUGCGCCCCAAAAUCAGUGGCGGUGCCAUCUGGCUUCGAGCGCAGUAGAUCAUCUCGCUCUGGAGGCUCCAGCUGUGUACCUGCCAGCAACCCCUAAUUUAUCAAA